CCUGGCUCAGAUUGAACGCUGGCGGUAUGCUUAACACAUGCAAGUCGAACGGUAGCAUGACUUAGCUUGCUAAGUUGAUGACGAGUGGCGAACGGGUGAGUAACGCGUAGGAAUAUGCCUUAAAGUGGGGGACAACUUGGGGAAACCCAAGCUAAUACCGCAUAAUUUCUUAGGAAAACAGCUGAGGACCUUCGGGCCUGGCGCUUUAAGAUUAGCCU
rnacentral:rRNA from 1 species